AGUCUCGCUCUGUCACCCAGGCUGGAGUGCAGUGGCCGGAUCUCAGCUCACUGCAAGCUCCGCCUCCCGGGUUUAUGCCAUUCUCCUGCCUCAGCCUCCCGAGUAGCUGGGACUACAGGCCCCCACCACCUUAAAAUGAUUACUUUAAAUACAAACAAAAUCGUAAUCUAGGAAAAACACAUGGAGUUGUGAAAAGUCUCCUUCUAAAUGUUUCUUUUCUUUUCUUUCCAUGUGCUAUUUGUAAUGCUUAUCUCCUUGUGAGUGGAGAGUUUACCAAGAGUAAAGGAUAUUCACCGGAACUCCAAUUGCUAUGAAAAUCUACAAGACAGAUCUGUCCAAGUCCAGAGAUGGGCUUGCUAUGUUUGUAAUAACCAAGAAAAUACAGUUAACCUUUAAUUUUUUUCACUUCA